UUCCGGUUGAUCCUGCCAGAGGUCACUGCUAUCGGGGUUCGAUUAAGCCAUGCGAGUCGAGAGGGGUCAAGCCCUCGGCAUACUGCUCAGUAACACGUGGACAACCUGCCCUGCGGUGAGGGAUAACUCCGGGAAACUGGAGAUAAUACCUCAUAGUUUACCAUCGCUGGAAUGCCUGGUAAGCGAAAGGUCCGCCGCCACAGGAUGGGUCUGCGGCCGAUUAGGUUGUUGUUGGGGUAACGGCCCAACAAGCCUGUGAUCGGUACGGGUUGUGGGAGCAAGAGCCCGGAGAUGGAUUCUGAGACACGAAUCCAGGCCCUACGGGGCGCAGCAGGCGCGAAAACUUUACAAUGCAGGCAACUGUGAUAAGGGAACCCCGAGUGCCCGUAUGGACGGGCUGUUCAGGUGCUUAAAAACCACCUGGAGAAAGGGCCGGGCAAGACCGGUGCCAGCCGCCGCGGUAAUACCGGCGGCUCGAGUGGUGGCCACUAUUACUGGGCUUAAAGCGUCCGUAGCUUGGUCGUUAAGCCUCUGGGGAAAUCUUCCGGCUCAACCGGAAGGCGUCUCAGGGGAACUGGCGGCCUAGGGAUCGGGAGAGGUGAGAGGUACUCUGGGGGUAGGAGUGAAAUCCUGUAAUCCUCAGGGGACCACCUGUGGCGAAGGCGUCUCACCAGAACGACUCCGACAGUGAGGGACGAAAGCUGGGGGAGCAAACCGGAUUAGAUACCCGGGUAGUCCCAGCCGUAAACGAUGCUCGCUAGGUGUCAGGCAUGGCGCGACCGUGUCUGGUGCCGCAGGGAAGCCGUGAAGCGAGCCACCUGGGAAGUACGGCCGCAAGGCUGAAACUUAAAGGAAUUGGCGGGGGAGCACAACAACGGGUGGAGCCUGCGGUUUAAUUGGAGUCAACGCCGGG
rnacentral:rRNA from 1 species